AAGACACCAUCUUCACCAAAUCU
rnacentral:snRNA from 1 species